UAUAGAGGUCCCAAGCGUUGUUCGGAUUCAUUGGGCGUAAAGGGUGCGUAGGCGGCGCGGUAAGUCGGGUGUGAAAUCUCGGAGCUUAACUCCGAAACUGCAUUCGAUACUGCCGUGCUUGAGGACUGGAGAGGAGACUGGAAUUUACGGUGUAGCGGUGAAAUGCGUAGAUAUCGUAAGGAAGACCAGUGGCGAAGGCGGGUCUCUGGACAGUUCCUGACGCUGAGGCACGAAGGCUAGGGGAGCAAACGGG
rnacentral:rRNA from 1 species